CCUGCAGCCCAUAUCACCCUGCAGCCCAAGACUGUUUACUCUCUGAAGCUAAGCAGGGCUGAGCCUGGUCAGUACCUGGAUGGGAGACCGCAUGGGAAAAACUAGGUGGCUGUUUUA
rfam:Danio rerio chromosome 6, GRCz11 reference primary assembly.